AGAUGGCGACCGGCGCACGGGUGAGUAACACGUAUCCAACCUGCCGAUAACUCGGGGAUAGCCUUUCGAAAGAAAGAUUAAUACCCGAUGGUAUAAUCAGACCGCAUGGUUUGAUUAUUAAAGAAUUUCGGUUAUCGAUGGGGGUGCGUUCCAUUAGGCAGUUGGUGAGGUAACGGCUCACCAAACCUUCGAUGGAUAGGGGUUCUGAGAGGAAGGUCCCCCACAUUGGAACUGAGACACGGUCCAA
rnacentral:rRNA from 1 species